AUGACCUUCUACAGCCUCCCGGAGACUCUUCAUCACGAGAUUGCCAUCGUUCAGGGGCAAUUUUACUGGGCCGGCGAGGGUGACAAGCAGAAAUACCAAAUGGUCAAGUGGUCCGAGAUCUGUAAACCCCGCGACCAGGGCGGCCUUGGGAUUAUGUCCUCCAAACGCAUGAAUAUAGCCCUUUUGACUCGGUGGCUCUGGAGGAUUAACAAUGGUGAUGGUGGCCUGUGGCUGCGCAUUAUUCAGCAGAAGUACCUCCGCGGAUAG
rnacentral:rRNA from 1 species